rnacentral:lncRNA from 1 species
UCGGAACAAAUUGGAAUAAAAGGAAACAUACACAAAUUAGCAUGACAAUUAUAGUCGCUAUUACAAACAAAAGAUUCUCCUGUAAUGCAAAACAAAAAGAUAUCAGUGUUAAUGAAAGUGGAUGAAAAGAAUGUGUAUUACCUAAUUUUUAUUUUUAUUUUAAAAAAAGAAGAUUGAGAGACUUACCAGCAUUUAUAUCUUUUACAACAAAAAAUAAGAAAGUAAAGAAGAUCAUAGCGUAAACAAACUUAAUCAUUUCAUUCAUAUUUUUUAUCCUUCUUGUGCAAUAAACAUUUAAUUUUGGUUUCAAUUUAUAUUGAUUUUUUAGCACUUAUAGAAAUGCAAGAAAUCCUUCAGAAAAAUUAAUGUCAUCAUAAAAUGUCUUUUACGUACAUUCAUGUGUUGUAUAUGGACAUAUACAACACAAUUAUAUACAUGUGUAGUUUAUUUCUUCAAAAAACAUAAGUAGUUUAUAUACAUCCACAUUUCAUUACACUUUAUUUCUCUUUUAUAACCUUUCAUGAUAGAUAAGAAAAAACCACAAAACAAAAAUAUAAUAGUAGUAAAUGAUGACAAGGUUACGUUGUAAGAAUUAUAUAUAGUUCGAUUUUGCCUCAAUAUCAUUGGUGAAUUAUUC